rnacentral:rRNA from 1 species
GUGCCAGCCGCCGCGGUAAUACAGAGGUGGCAAGCGUUGUUCGGAAUUACUGGGCGUAAAGGGCGUGUAGGCGGCUUUUUAAGUCAGACGUGAAAUCCCCCGGCUUAACCUGGGAACUGCGUCUGAUACUGGGAAGCUAGAGUUCGGGAGAGGGAUGUAGAAUUCCAGGUGUAGCGGUGAAAUGCGUAGAUAUCUGGAGGAAUACCGGUGGCGAAGGCGGCAUCCUGGACCGAAACUGACGCUUAAGCGCGAAAGCUAGGGGAGCAAACGGGAUUAGAUACCCGUGUAGUCC